GCGGGGCACGGUGGUGCAUGCCUGUAGUCCCAGCUACUCAGGAGGCAAAGGUGGCAGGAUCGCUUGAGCCCAGGAGUUCUGGACUGUAGUGUGCUAUGUCAAUCGGGUGUCUGCACUAAGUUUGGCAUCAAUAUGGCGACCUCCCAGGAGCAGGAGACCACCAGGUUGCCUAAGGAGGGGUGAACCAGCCCAGGUCGGAAAUGGAGCAGGUCAAAACUCCUGUGCUGAUCAGUAGUGGGAUUGUGCCUGUGAAUAGCCAAUGCAUUCCAGCCUGGGCAACAUAGCAAGACCCUGUCUCU
rnacentral:SRP_RNA from 1 species